rnacentral:rRNA from 1 species
GUGUCAGCAGCCGCGGUAAUACGUAGGGUGCGAGCGUUAAUCGGAAUUACUGGGCGUAAAGCGUGCGCAGGCGGUUGUGCAAGACAGGUGUGAAAUCCCCGGGCUUAACCUGGGAACUGCACUUGUGACUGCACGGCUAGAGUACGGUAGAGGGGGAUGGAAUUCCGCGUGUAGCAGUGAAAUGCGUAGAUAUGCGGAGGAACACCGAUGGCGAAGGCAAUCCCCUGGACCUGUACUGACGCUCAUGCACGAAAGCGUGGGGAGCAAACAGGAUUAGAAACCCUCGUAGUCC